rnacentral:rRNA from 1 species
UACAGAGGGUGCGAGCGUUAAUCGGAAUUACUGGGCGUAAAGCGUGCGUAGACGGCUAUCUAAGUCGGGUGUGAAAGCCUCGGGCUCAACCUGGGAAUUGCAUUCGAGACUGAAUAGCUAGGGUACGGUAGAGGGAAGCGGAAUUUCCGGUGUAGCGGUGAAAUGCGUAGAUAUCGGAAGGAACAUCAGUGGCGAAAGCGGCUUCCUGGACCAGUACCGACGUUCAGGCACGAAAGCGUGGGGAGCAAACAGG